UACGAGGGAUCCUAGCGUUGUUCGGAAUUAUUGGGCGUAAAGGGUGCGUAGGUGGCCUUGCAAGUCGGGUGUGAAAGCCCUCAGCUCAACUGAGGAAGUGCGCCCGAAACUGCAGAGCUUGAGUGCCGGAGAGGGUGGCGGAAUUCCCCAAGUAGAGGUGAAAUUCGUAGAUAUGGGGAGGAACACCGGUGGCGAAGGCGGCCACCUGGACGGUAACUGACGCUGAGACGCGAAAGCGUGGGGAGCAAACAGG
rnacentral:rRNA from 1 species